rnacentral:lncRNA from 1 species
CUCAUAAAAGACAAUUCUCCUACAAUUUCACCCACCAUUUACUCUGAAAGAAAUACCCAAUUUGGCUAGAGAGGUGGUUUUUAAAGAUAACUAGGAAGAUGCAUGGGAAAGUACAUCGUCAGCUAAUUAGCUACUGGAUUCUGUAACUGUGAUAGUGCCCAGUUGACACAGAAUGACUUUGGAUGAUGUGUGACUGGGGGUUCUCAUCACCCAAGAUUGUAAGACUAUGGAGUUUAUAGAUACUAAAUCAGGCAAAAGCUGGAACUAUGAAGAAAAACCAUCCCAGACAAUCCUUCGGAAUAAGGAUAAAUUAUCUACUAAAGGGAAAAAAGUACAUUCUUGUAAAACUAUUAAAAGGAAAAAAAAAUCUUUGAUGAAAAGUGAAAAAAGGCUGGUAUCUGUACCUAAAAUUCCAGUUACUCAACUGCUCUCUCUUAUUCCUGGACAAAAAGUGGCUGAGAGUGCUCCAGCUAAGCCUCAUAUUGAAGUAUGGAUUCUUCCCCUCAGAAAGGACCCUCAAGAAUUGACAAGAAUCAAAUCAAGGGAAACUCAAGGAAGUGAAGAUGACCAAACAGAAAUUAUCAGUUGGCAUGCAGAGGAUGAUGCUGAAAAGAAAAUUUCUUUGCCUGACCUGUUUCCAAGCCAAGUUAAUCUAAUUAAUGAGGAAAUAGUUGGUGAGUCUCAAGGCCAAAGAAAGGCAGAUUUGGAAAGGCAAGAUAUUCAGCAUGGUACAAUUACCAAAACAAUGGGUGAGUUUGAAGGCCAAAGCCUUUUGCCAGAGUGGAAAGAUCAAGAUAGUCAACCUAGUACAACUAGUACCAAGAAAAUGGGUGAGUUUGAAGGCCAAAGUCUUUUGCCAGAGUGGAAAGAUCAAGAUAGUCAACCUAGCACAACUAGUACCAAGAAAAUGGGUGAGUUUGAAGGCCAAAGCCUUUUGCCAGAGUGGAAAGAUCAAGAUAGUCAACCUAGCACAAGUAGUACUGAUAAAAAAGAACAAGAAGAACCUUCAGGAAUUUCAGAUGUGAUUCCCUCAAUUACAAGUCUAAUUAAACAAUUAGACUUAGACAGAGUAGUUGAGAUAAGCAUAGCUGAUUUAUUAAAGGACACAAAAGAAGUCAGUUUUACUCCAGCACGGGCAGAUGUUUCAACAAAAACUGUGCCUUUCUCAAAGCUUUUUCAACAAAAUAAAAUAUCUGGUUUACUAAAGGACAAAAAAGACGGUGCAAAAUUAACACAGAUGGAUGUGUCCCAAGAGCCUUUUCCACCAAGAAAGAAAUUUGGUUCCUUCUCAGCGGCUCACAAGCAUGAUCAGAUGUCCUCAAUAAAUCCCACCAAAUAAAAUUCUCCUUCAUCCUUUCCCUCGGUCUGGCUAAUAUGCUAUGCCUCUUCUGCUCUACUCUAUCUUAAAUUAUUUUGGCAGUUGUGUGAGCAAUGAAUUAGAAGACAAAUAGACUGGAAGAAAGGAUGAUAAUCAGAUGGAUAGGCUAGGAAAGAUAUGACUGGGGCUUGAAUUAGGGUUUUGGUCAUAUAAGUGGAGAGAAGGAGCAGUUAGUGCAAUAGAUAAAAUACCAGGCCUAGAGUCAAGAACACCUGAGUUCAAAUCUGAAAUCAGAUACUUCCUAGCUGUGUGACCCUGGGCAAGUCACUUCACCCUGUUUGCCUCAGUUUCUUCAUCUGAAAAAUAAACUGGAGAAGGAAAUGGCAAACCAGUCAAGGAACUCUGCCAAGAAAACCCCAAAUGGAAUCAUGAAGAGACAGAUAUGACUGAAAGAAGUGCACAACAAAAUGCAGAGAAGAUAAUGCAAGAGAUGAUAUGGAGCUAGAACAUCAGCUGGUACUGGAAUGGGGACUAUGGGAGAGUUAGGUAUUGAGAGAAAUUCCCUGGACUUAGAACUUGGAUCACUUAAAGGAUGAAGGUGUUCUCAGCAGAAAUAGUAAAUUUAGAAGUCAGCUCUAGCAGGGAAGCUAGAGAUUCUGUCUUUGAUUGAUCUUGAGAUGCCAGUGGGCUCUCCAGGGAGAGAUGUCCAGCAGGCAGCAAUGAAGCCAGAAUGGAACUCAGAAGAGACCAUUUGUCUAGAUAUAUAGAUUUGGAAAAUUCUCUGGAGAGAGGAGAUAUGUGAAAUGCUUUAGUACUUUGCUUGGCACACAGUAGGCACAAUAUAAAUGAUAUGAGUGAGUGUGUCUGUGUGUGUGUGUGAGAGAGAGAAAGAGAGGGGAGGCGGGGGAGAGACAGAGAGAGGAGAAAUGAAUUUUCAGGUUCUUUCAUUUCCUGUUUCACCCCAACUUCUGUGCUGCUUAGGAUAACUCCUUGCAAAAUUGGAAAAAGAGGUAGACUUGGACAUCCAGCCCCUCUUAGUAAAGUGAUAAUCAGACAUCACUUAGAAGUGGGAUAUCCAUUUAAGCUAACUUAUUCACUACAAUAGAAGAACUUCAAAGGGAAUAGGACGAGUGGAAGAUGGCAAGGAAUGAGUGUAUUAAAAGGGCAUUACAGGAUACACUGAAAGACGGAAGGGAAUAUACAAGCAGAGCAAAAAAGAGCCCUUCAUUUCCAUUUCAUAAGAAAGCUACAGAGCAAGUUUUUCCAAAGGAAAAAAAACAAGCUUCCUCUUUGAAGUGCUUCAUUAUAAAGCAGCAAGUGAAAACACCUCAGCUGGACAGAAAGAACUGCCUCAGGGACAGGCAUUUUCCUCCAUUAAUUCUUGACAGAAAAGGGAAGUGAAUUACCAUCCAAAUUACAGUCAGCCAGAGAUAUUUUACUCCCGUGAACAAUUCCUUCAGUAGAAAAAAGGAGAUAUAUUCAGGAUCACAUUUUAUUUCCAGGAAAAAACUUCAUGCCACAAAAGACAAUGCUACAAUUGAGAAAAUAUUUAAAUGAUGUCAUUCUUCUAUGUAGUUUACGUCAUCAGAUUUGUUGUACUUUGAGGAAGUAUAAAAUAUUAAAAUCUAU